GACGGAGGGGGCAAGCGUUGUCCGGACUCACUGGGCGUAAAGGGUGCGUAGGCGGUCUGGUGCGUCAGUGCUGAAAGCGCCCCGCUUAACGGGGCGAGGCGUGCUGAUACGACCGGACUGGAGGCGCAGAGAGGGUGGCGGAACUCCUGGUGUAGUGGUGAAAUGCGUAGAGAUCAGGAAGAACACCCGUGGCGCAAGCGGCCACCUGGCUGCGACCUGACGCUGAGGCACGAAAGCGUGGGCAGCGAACCGG
rnacentral:rRNA from 1 species